GGUAAAACAGAGGUCAGGUCACUCAUCUGAGCUCCACAUUACUCUUACAGAGCUGAGGCUUCUCAGAGAAUAAUGUGGAAAAUGCUCUUCGAACAUAAAUGUAACUGGUUCACAAACUGUAACUUGGCCAGCCUCUUCUGGGAGAGGGGGCAUAGUGUCAUUGGCUCUCUAUUGUGGUUUGCAGGGCAGCAAGGGGCAGAGGGAUCAUGAGCAACAGCUGUCUCCAGGCUCUUGAACUACUUGGCAGGGCAUUUGUGCAUGUCUCAAGCCUGUUCCUUAGGAGCUGUGCCCUUAUUUGAGCCAGAACUACACAAAGGCAUUGUCCUCAAACACUGGGUCUCCUCUUUCUUGACUGGCCCUGUUUACCCAUUCAUCAGCAGGUGGUGGCUGGAACAUUCCCCUUUGAUUUUGUGGUUCAGGAGCGGCAAGCUAAGACCUAAGCUGAAUAAACAUAGUAUCAUUUGGCACUGGCAAGAUUCCUGGUAGUCCGGGUCAGGAGAGGUUUAAGGAGGAUUAGGUUUAGAUUAGAAAAGGGGUUGAGUUAUUUUUUUUCCCUGUGGUUUCUCUUAAGUGCCUUAGGGUUUUGUAAGAGGAAAGUGGGCUGACAGCCUGGACUCAGUUGCUCCAGAGAUAAAAGUGGUGAGCUCAGUGUUCUUUUCUGGACCAUCAGGAGGGUAUGUUCUUCUCCUGAACAUGGUUUUUCCCAUGAGACUCAUGAGUUCCUGGGAAUCUGCUGAAAGCUCUAAACCUUUUCUCUAGAAAACUGGGGGCAUCUGUGCACAAGCACGCACGGGCAGGUACACAAGGGCACGCCCACACCUGCUUGCGCGUGCGCAUACAUCUGAUUUGACUUACUCGCAGGCGUUCCUGAAAUUCACCAGCCAGAAAAUUUUCAAGAGCCUACACAACUCACUUUUCAGAGAGACCUCACCCUUCCCAGAGUGAUUUGCUACCAUGUAUUGAGAGAAGACUGGAUGAUGCUACAUUGCCACAUGAUACCAUAAGAACUCAAUGUUUUAUGACCCCAGACAGAUCCACAGUCACCCUCCUCCCAACUCCACAAGAGGCCUUCCAAGACCAGCAGAUAAAUCUGGCUCAGGCUCAAGGAAGGAAGUCAGCUGCAUUUGCUCUGCGUGCUGGUGUGCACGAGACCUUGUGUGUGCCCUCUAGAAGUGGAGCCCCUGUUUCCUACCAUCCCCCACCCCUGUCCUGUGGAGCUCCUACAAUCAGGCCCCACUGGCCUUCAAAGCCAGAUCUGCUGAGGGCUCCUCCAUUCAAUGCCAGGCCCCUAGACUGGGUAGCCUGAUGUGGAACUCAGAGCUCUCAGCUCUGUGGGAGAAUUUCUGUGAUGUAAUUAGUCUCUAGAUUGUGGGUCACCCACCCAGGUAG
ensembl:lncRNA